AACCUCCGCAAUGUGAGAAAUCGCGACGGGGGGAUCCCAAGUGCCAUUCUUAACGGGAUGGCUUUUCAUUAGUGUAAAGAGCUUUUGGAAUAAGGGCUGGGCAAGACCGGUGCCAGCCGCCGCGGUAACACCGGCAGCUCUAGUGGUAGCAGUUUUUAUUGGGCCUAAAGCGUCCGUAGCCGGUUUAAUAAGUCUCUGGUGAAAUCCUGUAGCUUAACUGAGGGAAUUGCUGGAGAUACUAUUAGACUUGAGACCGGGAGAGGUUAGAGGUACUCCCAGGGUAGAGGUGAAAUUCUGUAAUCCUGGGAGGACCGCCUGUUGCGAAGGCGUCUAACUGGAACGGUUCUGACGGUGAGGGACGAAAGUUAGGGGCGCGAACCGGAUUAGAUACCCGGGUAGUCCUAACUGUAACGAUGCGGACUUGGUGUUGGGGUGGCUUUGAGCUGCUCCAGUGCCGAAGGGAAGCUGUUAAGUCCGCCGCCUGGGAAGUACGGUCGCAAGACUGAAACUUAAAGGAAGU
rnacentral:rRNA from 1 species